rnacentral:rRNA from 1 species
ACGGGAGGCAGCAGUGGGGAAUAUUGGGCAAUGGACGAAAGUCUGACCCAGCGACGCCGCGUGAGGGAAGAAGGUCUUCGGAUUGUAAACCUUGAACAACAGGGACGAAACAAAUGACGGUACCUGUUAGGAAGCCACGGCUAACUACGUGCCAGCAGCCGCGGUAAUACGUAGGUGGCAAGCGUUAUCCGGAUUUACUGGGUGUAAAGGGUGUGUAGGCGGAGGAGCAAGUCAGAUGUGAAAACUAUGGGCUCAACCCAUAGCCUGCAUUUGAAGCUGUCCCCCUUGAGUGUCGGAGAGGUAAAUGGAAUUCCCAGUGUAGCGGUGAAAUGCGUAGAUAUUGGGAGGAACACCGGUGGCGAAGGCGGUUUACUGGACGACAACUGACGCUGAGACACGAAAGUGUGGGGAGCAAACAGGAUUAGAUACCCUGGUA